rnacentral:lncRNA from 1 species
GCAUGGGUGGACGACUAUUUAUAAUUAACAAUAAAGGAGCUAAAAGUCCUUCGUCUGAUAUCAAAAUAAUAAUAAUAAUAAUAAAUAUAUACUUCAAACAUGGUUCUUAAGACCGGACCGACUGGUUCGACCACUUUAACUGGGAACCGAACAGUGGUCCAGUCUGGGUUACAUAGGAAAAUGGGGAGCUUAAAAAGAAAACAGGCAAAUAGUAGAGUAAACUUUUAAAUAGCAUAAAUAACAAAAUGUUAUAAUUUCACAAGUCAGAACCAUGGCUUUAUAUUUUUUAAGCUAAUAUUUUCUAACUCUUUAACUCUUUUCUAAAUUCAUAGUUAUCAUUUA